rnacentral:rRNA from 1 species
UACAGAGGGGGCAAGCGUUGUUCGGAAUUACUGGGCGUAAAGGGCGCGUAGGCGGCCUUCUAAGUCGAACGUGAAAUCCCUGGGCUCAACCCAGGAACUGCGUCCGAUACUGGGAGGCUUGAAUCCGGGAGAGGGAUGCGGAAUUCCAGGUGUAGCGGUGAAAUGCGUAGAUAUCAGGAGGAACACCGGUGGCGAAGGCGGGGUCUCUGGGCCGUAACUGACGCUGGAGGAGCGAAAGCAUGGGGAGCGAACAGG